rnacentral:rRNA from 1 species
UAAAANGUNGUAACAAGGUUUCCGUAGGUGAACCUGCGGAAGGAUCAUUA